AUUUAGCAACCAGGGCCUGGAAGGCAGACAAAGGUAACUGGCCCCAUGUGAUAAAAACAGGCCCGGGAGCGUCUUCAUUAAGGCAGGCAGUUUUGGGCCACCCGAUCAUGACCAUGGAUCUACGUGCUGGAACUUGAAAGUAUGUCCACGCUCAAGAUUUCUGUCUCUUCUGAAGCAAGAAAGGAGUGGUUUUGCAUGCCCUGCCUAUGCACAUCUUUAUGAAAAUAUAACCUUUUCACUCACUUUCUGAACUCCACAAAAGAGUCAGCUUUCUCCUGUUGGUGAUGAAACCAGCUGUUGAAAUACUUCAAUUGGGUUGCAGUUGCUUCUCCUGUGAGCUGCAUGGCCAUCUCUUCUUUUGUUUCA
rnacentral:lncRNA from 1 species